rnacentral:lncRNA from 1 species
AUGAGAAAAUUUGAUCAAAAAAAAAAAAAUGCAAUUUCAAUUUUUGUUCCCAAAUAUAAAAUCACAACUUGAAAGUUUUUUUUUCUUUUUUUUUUUCAAAAUGAUUUCGAGCCCAUAACUAGAAGUUUAAAAAAAACUAUGUGUUCAACAGGGCCAAAUCAAAAUGCUUAGAACUUGCAUUCAAAUGCUCACUUGUCAAAAGUGAUUGCCAAUUUUUCAAUCAUAAGCUUGCAUCACCGAGGGCAUGCGAUUGAUUUCCGCGAAUUUUAAGAUGAAAAUACAAUACAAAAUGAACAAAUAAAAAGGAAAAUGAUACUUACAAUGGGUGCCGACCUUUGUUUUUUUUUUACAUAGACAUGCACAUGAGAUGUGGUUCGAUUUCUACUCUAUAUAGCCCAAAAUGGAGCCAUAGGAUUACCGGACUGAACCAGCAAGAUUGCGG